rnacentral:piRNA from 1 species
UAGAAGUAGCUGGAGCUUAGACUCACUUUU